ACUACUCAUCAACGGAGGGCUUUGUUCCGUGGCUAGAAAAACCGAGAAAUAUACAUUCCGACUCACCCCUGAUCAGGUGGAAGAUAUCGAUGCUAUUAUGCUUAGAUGUGAUAUCGAUAAACGCUCACAACUCUUCGGAAUGGCCAUAGGGAAUUUUAUUGCAGAAAAUAAAGCGGAUUCGUAUUCGCAAAAAGUGGUGGCAAACCUACCUAAUAAUUUGGUUAAUAGAGUUAUGGAUUGCGUUUCUUCCGGUGAUGCACUCAAUAUUGAGAAUGCGAUUCAACUGUCCUUAGUUCAGUUUGUGCACUCCUCCGAAGAAUACGUUCUGAAUACUUGGAAAGAUCUCAAAAAUGCCCGUUUCGAAUAUCAAAAAGACCGCGAACGAAACAAGGCAGUCACAGAAUCUUAUAAUAAAUAAUUAUCUAAUAUUACUUUCAAUUUAUAUUUCAAUAUUAAAAAAUCUAGGUAAGAUGGCCUUGCUAGAGGGU
rnacentral:rRNA from 1 species